UACAGAGGUCCCAAGCGUUGUUCGGAUUCACUGGGCGUAAAGGGUGCGUAGGCGGUCGGGUAAGUCUGACGUGAAAUCUCCGGGCCUAACCCGGAAACUGCGUUGGAAACUGCCUGGCUAGAGGAAUGGAGGGGAGACUGGAAUACUUGGUGUAGCAGUGAAAUGCGUAGAUAUCGGGAGGAACACCAGUGGCGAAGGCGACUACCUGGCCUGUUCUUGACGCUGAGGCGCGAAAGCUAGGGGAGCAAACGGG
rnacentral:rRNA from 1 species